CCUAUUUUGAGAAAAUGAGACAACAUUAUUCAUUAUCAAGAAUUGGCUUACUAGUUCAAUGCAAUAUCUCUAUCGAUACUGGUAUGACAAAUUAAUGAGAAAUUACGUUGACGAAAAGAAAAGUUCAACGAAUGUCUAGCAUGAUUUGUGUUCAACACUAUGAUAUGCCUAGUGAGCGGUCUUGCGGUAAGUUGACCCUGUUUUGCCGUAAAGAUGAAAAAUAUUACGCGUUGACUUGUUGCCACGUUGGUUUUGGACCUCAUCUGAAGUUGAAUGAUGACCUUCUUGCGAUUCAAGAUGAAAUUAGUAAAAACAAAGAAAGCAUUCAGCGUUUAUUGCAUGAAAAUAAAUAUACUUUCUCGGAUGAUGAUGACAGCGUGGUUGGUCAUUUUUCUGACUUCUCUUAUGGUCCUGAAAUCGAUAUCAUGUCUAUCACUGUUGGCAAUAAAGAGGAUUUUCAGAAGCUUGUUGGUGAUGAAUUGGAAGAUGUUAAUUCAAACUUUGAUGACGUAUUUAGCAAAAUUCACGAAAGACGAUGCCAAGGGGAAUCUGUGAAAGUUCGCACAGCCACUUGU